rnacentral:rRNA from 1 species
GCUCCGGUUGAUCCUGCCGGACCCGACUGCUAUCAGAGUGGGACUAAGCCAUGCGAGUCGACGUAGCAAUGCGUGGCGAACGGCUCAGUAACACGUAGUCAACAUGCCCAGGGGACGUGGAUAACCUCGGGAAACUGAGAAUAAACCACGAUAGGUCACGAUUUCUGGAAUGGAUCAUGGCCUAAAUCUACAUGGCCCCUGGAUUGGACUGCGGCCGAUCAGGCAGUUGGUGAGGUAAUGGCCCACCAAACCUAUAACCGGUACGGGCUCUGAGAGGAGAAGCCCGGAGAUGGGCACUGAGACAAGGGCCCAGGCCCUAUGGGGCGCAGCAGGCGCGAAACCUCUGCAAUAGGCGAAAGCCUGACAGGGUUACUCUGAGUGAUUUCCGCUAAGGGGAUCUUUUGGCACCUCUAAAAAUGGUGCAGAAUAAGGGGUGGGCAAGUCUGGUGUCAGCCGCCGCGGUAAUACCAGCACCCCGAGUGGUCGGGACGAUUAUUGGGCCUAAAGCAUCCGUAGCCGGUUCUGCAAGUCUUCCGUUAAAUCCAGCCGCUCAACGG